CUCUGCCUCGCCUCCACCUCCACUUCAACAAAAAUAUCUAUAGUGCCCUCUUUUUUUCAAAGGCCUUUAAAAAUCACCCAGGAUACUCCAUGGCUGCAGACCUAACCCAUCCUUCCCUUGGGAAAGUUCUAGACAGACCCUGGCAAGACCCUUCAUCAUCUUUGUAGCUCUGCUUUGGACAUCUGCUUAUGACUUCCUGAGUCUCCUGCUCCACAGCAGUGUCUAAUUCCUGACUUGAGCUGUAUUGCUCAGGUUACAAGAGGUAUGACCUCCAGGCAUCAUGGUGGGUUAGAACCACAGUAUCACUGAUGAUUUAGGAAUAAAAUAUGAAGCAUUUCCUGCA
rnacentral:lncRNA from 1 species